rfam:Pteropus alecto contig90150, whole genome shotgun sequence.
CCUCUGGUUUUCUUCAAAACCAAAAUUAAAAAAAAAAAAAGAAAG